AUGCAAAUUGUAUGGAACAUUGUGGUUACUCAGUCUCCAAGGUCCUGGGUUGUGUCUGCAGGAGAGAGGGUCACCAUCAACUGCAAGCCCAGUCAGAGUCUGUUAUGGAGCAAAGAUAAUGAGAAGCACGUGCCUUAUUAUCAGCAGAAAUGGGGAGAAGCUCCUCAUCUGUUUAUGUAUUCUGUGUCCACUCACCAUCUGAAUUCCAUUAACAGUGGAUCUGAGGCAGACUACACUCUCAGUAUCAGCAGCAUGCAGGCUGAAGUUGUGGCAGACUAUUACUGCCAACAGAAUUAUAACUUCCCUUUCACAGUGCUUCAGCCUCGACCACAACCUCCUGUCCAGGCCAUGGGUCAGUGA